rnacentral:rRNA from 1 species
CUUUCGAGUGCCGACUAAUAACACAUGUGCAACUGUUAUAUAACUUUAAAACACUGUGAUUGUAAUAUAUAUCUUUGACUGCUUCUUUUCGUAAGGAAGGAACGUAGUAUCAUGGAAAAAGCACAACUUUUAACAAUGGAUCUCUUGGCUCUUGCAUCGAUGAAGAACGCAGCGAAAUGCGAUAGGUAAUGCGAAUUGCAUGCUUUGCGAGUCAUCGAAUCUUUGAACGCACAUUGCACUAUUCUUUUUAACGAAGAGUAGUAUAUCCAGUUGAGUGUAUUCACCAAACACCUUCUUUCUUGAUUUCUAAUAGUAGAUUAAGUUCUGCUAGAGGAGAGAGAGUAAAAGGGGGGAUAUUGAGGGUUCAAAGUUGUUAAUAACUUUGUCCCUUUAAAAGGAUGUAAAGAACUUGUGUUUUCUAUCCUUUCUGUUGCAGGAAAGGGGAGUUUAGAUGUGACUUGUGUUCUCUAUCUUCUUUGAGGGGAAGAGCUACUUGUCUACUAAUCUCUGUCGAUGAUGA